rnacentral:rRNA from 1 species
AUUGAACGCUGGCGGCAUGCUUUACACAUGCAAGUCGAACGGUAACAGGCCGCAAGGUGCUGACGAGUGGCGAACGGGUGAGUAAUGCAUCGGAACGUGCCCAGCCGUGGGGGAUAACUACUCGAAAGAGUAGCUAAUACCGCAGACGAGCUAUGUAUGAAAGCGGGGGACCGUAAGGCCUCGCGCGAUUGGAGCGGCCGAUGUCAGAUUAGGUAGUUGGUGGGGUAAAGGCUCACCAAGCCAACGAUCUGUAGCUGGUCUGAGAGGACGACCAGCCACACUGGGACUGAGACACGGCCCAGACUCCUACGGGAGGCAGCAGUGGGGAAUUUUGGACAAUGGGCGCAAGCCUGUUCCAGCAAUGCCGCGUGCAGGAAGAAGGCCUUCGGGUUGUAAACUGCUUUUGUACGGAACGAAACGGCUCUGGUUAAUACCCGGGGCUAAUGACGGUACCGUAAGAAUAAGCACCGGCUAACUACGUG